GACAGAGGUGCCAAGCGUUAGGCGGAAUCACUGGGCUUAAAGCGUGUGUAGGUGGAUGUCUAAGUGCUUUGUGAAAUCCCACGGCUCACCCGUGGAACUGCUUGGCAUACUGGAUGUCUUGAGCCACUUAGGGGUCGCUGGAACAAACGGUGGAGCGGUGAAAUGCGUAGAUAUCGUUUGGAACGCCAAUGGUGAAAACAGGCGACUGGGAGUGUGCUGACACUGAGACACGAAAGCCAGGGGAGCGAACGGG
rnacentral:rRNA from 1 species